CUUGAUAACAUAAGAGGUCCAGCCUGCCCAGUGACUCAAUUCAACGGCCGCGGUAUCCUAACCGUGCAAAGGUAGCGUAAUCACUUGUCUUCUAAAUAAAGACUAGUAUGAAAGGCACCACGAGAACUAAACUGUCUCCUUUUUCUAAUCAGUGAACCUAAUCUCCCUGUGAAAAAGCAGGGAUUUAAUAAUAAGACGAGAAGACCCUAUGGAGCUUUAAACACAUAACACUGCCCUUUUACACCACAAUGUUCCAUGCACAAUGAUUAAGAGUUUUUAGUUGGGGUGACUACGGAGUAAACCCACCCUCCGCGAUGAAUCUUAAACAAGCGACAGCUUUAUACAUCAGCAAACUGACACCAUUGACCCAAUUUAUUGAUCAACGAAC
rnacentral:rRNA from 1 species